rnacentral:lncRNA from 1 species
CUGGAAGCGGGACCGGACAGCGGCCGGCGCCGGUGGCCGCGCGGAGGGGACACCAGGGACGGCCCCGGUUUGGGGGGGCGAGCAAUGGGAUCCCCGCACCGCCACCCGUGGGAUGUGGGGUUCCUCCGUGUCCCCCAAUUCCCUCCGUGCCCCCAAAUCCCCUCAGUGUCCCCCCGUGUCCCAAAUUCCCUCAGUGUCCCCCCUGUGUCCCCCAAUUGCCUUAGUGCCACCCCCUGUGUCCCCAAUUCCAUCAGUGUCCCCCAAUUCCCAAUUGUGUCCCCCCGUGUCCCCCAAUUCCCUCAGUGCCACCCCCUGUGUCCCCAAUUCCAUCAGUGUCCCCCAAUCCCAGCUUCCACCCCAACAUUCCCACUCCCAUCUCCGUUCCUUUGGGGUUUUGGGACUCGCCCCUGCCCCAGCGGGGUUCCAGGAGCUCACCCCGGGGUAUUUCAGCCACAUUCCAUGGGGAAAACAUUCCCUAAAAACCGAGCAGGAUCUUCCCAAGCCCAGGGAUUCCCAACCUCCCAGCGGGAAUUGUGGCUGUAAGGGACUUCAAAGGAUUUCCAAGGAUAAGCUGGGCUCGAUGAUCCUUUGGGAUCCCACUCGGAUGUUCCGGGAUUCCUCUGGCCCCUGCCAAGGCCUGACUCCCUUUCCAUGGAAAAAUGAUCCCAAAUAUCCCCAUUGGCCCAGGCUGGGGCCGCUCCCUCUUCUCCCAGGGCUCAUUCCCUGGAUAACCGGGAUGUGCUGGAAAUUCUCAUGGGGGUGUGAGCACGGAAUUCCCAGAUUAUUGGGGCUGGGAAAUCAUCCCAAGGGCACCGAGUCCCAGCUGGGCCCGAUCCCAGCCCUGAGUGGAAUUCCGGGAAUUCCUCAGGCACCUCCAGGGAUGGGCACUCCAAAGGUCCCUGGGCAGCCCCUGCCAAGGCCUGGCCCCCUUUCCAUGGAAAAUGAUCCCAAAUCUCCGAGCUGAGCCUGCCCUGGCCCAGGCUGAGGCCGCUCCCUCUUUUCCCGGGGCUCAUUCCCUGGAGCAGAUCCCGAUCCCCGCGGGCUCCUGGCAGGAGCUGGGCAGAGCCAGGAGGACAUUCCCGAUCCUGCCCCGGUGCCGGCAGAGCUGCCCUGGCCCCGAUCCCGGGGCAGAUCCCGCUUUUCCCGGCUCUCC